UACGGUGGGGGCAAGCGUUGUUCGGAAUUACUGGGCGUAAAGGGCUCGCAGGCGGCCAACUAAGUCAGACGUGAAAUCCCUCGGCUUAACCGGGGAACUGCAUCUGAUACUGGAUGGCUUGAGUUCGGGAGAGGGAUGCGGAAUUCCAGGUGUAGCGGUGAAAUGCGUAGAUAUCUGGAGGAACACCGGUGGCGAAGGCGGCAUCCUGGACCGACACUGACGCUGAGGAGCGAAAGCCAGGGGAGCAAACGGG
rnacentral:rRNA from 1 species